rnacentral:misc_RNA from 1 species
GAUGAAGAACGCAGCGAAAUGAGAUAAGUAAUGUGAAUUGCAGAAUUCAGUGAAUCAUCGAAUCUUUGAACGCACAUUGCGCCCGCCAGUAUUCUGGCGGGCAUGCCUGUUCGAGCGUCAUUACAACCCUCAGGCCCCCGGGCCUGGCGUUGGGGAUCGGCGGAAGCCCCCUGCGGGCACAACGCCGUCCCCCAAAUACAGUGGCGGUCCCGCCGCAGCUUCCAUUGCGUAGUAGCUAACACCUCGCAACUGGAGAGCGGCGCGGCCACGCCGUAAAACACCCAACUUCUGAAUGUUGACCUCGAAUCAGGCAGGAAUACCCGCUGAACUUAAGCAUAUCAAUAAGCGGAGGA